GAUGAACGCUGGCGGCGUGCCUAAUACAUGCAAGUCGAGCGAACGGACGAGAAGCUUGCUGCUCUGAUGUUAGCGGCGGACGGGUGAGUAACACGUGGAUAACCUACCUAUAAGACUGGGAUAACUUCGGGAAACCGGAGCUAAUACCGGAUGAUAUUUUGAACCGCAUGGUUCAAAAGUGAAAGACGGUCUUGCUGUCACUUAUAGAUGGAUCCGCGCUGCAUUAGCUAGUUGGUAAGGUAACGGCUUACCAAGGCAACGAUGCCUAGCCGACCUGAGAGGGUGAUCGGCCACACUGGAACUGAGACACGGUCCAGACUCCUACGGGAGGCAGCAGUAGGGAAUCUUCCGCAAGGGGCGAAAGCCUGACGGAGCAACGCCGCGUGAGUGAUGAAGGUCUUCGGAUCGUAAAACGCUGUUAUUAGGGAAGAACAUAUGUGUAAGUAACUGUGCACAUCUUGACGGUACCUAAUCAGAAAGCCACGGCUAACUACGUG
rnacentral:rRNA from 1 species